rnacentral:tRNA from 1 species
GCCUCUAUGGCGCAGUGGUAACGCGUUGCACUUGUAAUGCAAAGAUCCCUCGUUCGAAUCGGGGUGGAGGCA